GUGCUCCUUGGGAAGGCAUAUAUACCAAAACUGGAAUGACAGAGAAGAUUGACAUGACCCCUGUGCAAGGCUAAUAUGCACACCCAUGAAACAUUCCUUAUUAGA
ensembl:snRNA U6 U6 spliceosomal RNA